UUGCUCAGACGUGUCUAAUAGGCAAUUUCCCCAGCGCCCUGCACAGUUCAGUUGAGAGUGAACAGAGGACGGGAUGACGCAGCUUCCGGCAGAAGGGCCAUGCCCAGCGACUCAGAGCAACCCUUGGCCCAUUGCAUUGUCCAAGGCUCCUGAGCAGGAGCAGGUUCCAACACAGGCCAGAUGCGGGACCGUGGCUCCCAGAGGGACUGCCAGGGGCACCUGAGUCCCACUCUCAGCUGGGGUCCUAGCCGCGGACGGUGGGGAUUGGCUUCACGGCACAUGGACCAGGAGCACCAUUUCUCGGCUCCUCAGGCUGUGCGGGGAUUUCACCAGCCGAGAGUGAGACAGGACACGACGAUGCAGCUUCUUCAGGAGCAGAGCAACCCCUCCCCCACGGACUGUCUGGGGACCGGAUCCUGUAAGGCUCCGGAGCAGGUUCCAACACAGGCCAGAUGCGGGACCGUGGCUCCCAGAGGGACUGCCAGGGGCACCUGAGUCCCACGCCCAGCUGGGGUCCUAGACGCGGAUGGUGGGGAUUGGCUUCACGGCACAUGGACCAGGAGCACCAUUUCACGGCUCCUCAGGCUGUGCGGGGAUUUCACCAGCCGAGAGUGAGACAGGACACGACGAUGCAGCUUCUUCAGGAGCAGAGCAACCCCUCCCCCACGGACUGUCUGGGAACCUGAUCCCGUAAGGCUGCAUUUGGGGAUCCGUGUUAGCUCCACAUGAGGUCUGACAAGGAACCCUGCAUUGCUUCACCUCCCAAGGGAUCUUCACUCUCUGAAUUCUACUUUGAGCUUCUCCAGAAAGAAUGAAAUUUCCCUCUCAUGGAGAGCCACGCAGAAAUUAUCCGGCAUCUAUUUUCCCAACAUGGGCAAUGGAGGCGUCUCCUCCUGCCAUUCAACGUGAGAGGUUUUUGUACAGCCAUGUGUCACUGUGGUAUGUCUUCGGAGGAGGAACCCAACUGACCGUCCUCGGGCAGCCAAAGGCAUCUCCUACCGUGAACCUCUUCCCUCCAUCCUCGGAGGAGCUGCAAACCAAGAACAAAGCCACCCUGGUGUGUCUGCUGGGCAGCUUCUACCCCGGCUCCGUCCAAGUGACCUGGAAAGCUGAUGGCCAGCAGAUCUCCACAGGAGUGGAGACCACCAGGCCGUCCAAGCAGAGCGACAACAAGUACAUGGCCAGCAGUUACCUGUCUCUGGAUGCAUCCAAGUGGACGUCCUCUGAUACCUACACCUGUCAGGUGACACACGAUGGCAAGACCCUGGAGAGGUCCCUGAAGCGAUCGGAGUGUUCGUAACCCUCUGACCCCAGGGGGCGCAGCUGGUACCCACGUCAGCCCGUCGGGGGCUCCCAGAGGAGACGGGAUCUCCUAGCGUGGCCAUGAUGCUGAUUUCCAGCAAAUCUCCUUCCUCUUCUGCGGGUGGGAUUCUAUUGAUCCACACGACACCUGUCUUUGUUCCCUGUUCCCCUCUGCUCCCACCCCCGGCAAUCCCUGGCCAGUCCCCCCUGCUGUAGUCUCCCAUGCAGCCUUGUUAUGUCAUUAAUAAAACCAAAA